AAAUAUAUCCCGUAAUAUACAAAAAUGAGGUUUUUCUAUUUGGCUCUACUACUGGUUGCAGUAAUUAUCUUAUUUUCGGCAAGUAACGUAGAGUCUAAACUUCUUAAGAAAUUCGGUGUUUUUGAUGCCAUAAAGGGACUGUUUGGUUCUAAUGCAUCGACCACCCGACCACCAAGGGCAUACUCAAACAUACUUCCUGCUUAAUAUAAUUUAUUCAGACCAAAAACAAUAUAAAAUAUAAUAAAACACUUUUAUUACACUUAAUAUUAAUAAAACAGAAAAAAUGACUAACAAUUUCCUAAUCCAAAGCAUCCAAAUUAAGAGUCUGGGCAUUCAUCGCUUCAGAGAGUUUGAUGGGAGCUUCGUCAGUGGCUGCACAAAAUCCAAAUUGACCGACAUGGCAUACAGCAGCCAGAAGGGGUACGACAGUCUUAACAACUUCGCAGAUCUUGUCAAGAGCAGCGGUUAUUUUGCUGGCAUGACCACCCAUUGCGUUGCCAAUUUUCGAAGCCAUCUCUCCGAAUUUUAGCAGGGUCUUUCUCUAUAAAAAAAUUACAUUAGUUUAUUAUUGAGUAAUAUAUCAUGAGUAAAUA